rnacentral:rRNA from 1 species
ACUUAGAAUCUACCUAGUAGUGGGGAUAGCUCGGGAAACUCGAAUUAAUACCGCAUACGACUACGGGAGAAAGGGGCAACUUGUUGCUCUCGCUAUUAGAUGAGCCUAAGUCGGAUUAGCUAGAUGGUGGGGUAAAGGCCUACCAUGGCGACGAUCUGUAGCUGGUCUGAGAGGAUGAUCAGCCACACCGGGACUGAGACACGGCCCGGACUCUACGGGAGGCAGCAGUGGGGAAUAUUGGACAAUGGGGGCAACCCUGAUCCAGCCAUGCCGCGUGUGUGAAGAAGGCCUUUUGGUUGUAAAGCACUUUAAGCAGUGAAGAAGACUCUAGGGUUAAUACCCWUYGACGAUGACAUUAGCUGCAGAAUAAGCACCGGCUAACUCUGUGCCAGCAGCCGCGGUAAUACAGAGGGUGCAAGCGUUAAUCGGAAUUACUGGGCGUAAAGCGAGCGUAGGUGGCUUGAUAAGUCAGAUGUGAAAGCCCCGGGCUUAACCUGGGAACGGCAUCUGAUACUGUUAGGCUAGAGUAGGUGAGAGGAAGGUAGAAUUCCAGGUGUAGCGGUGAAAUGCGUAGAGAUCUGGAGGAAUACCGAUGGCGAAGGCAGCCRUCUGGCAUCAUACUGACACUGAGGUUCGAAAGCGUGGGUAGCAAACAGGAUUAGAUACCCUGGUAGUCCACGCCGUAAACGAWGUCUACUAG